rnacentral:rRNA from 1 species
CAGUCGCCGCGGUAAUACGGAGGGGGCUAGCGUUGUUCGGAAUUACUGGGCGUAAAGCGCACGUAGGCGGCUUGGUAAGUUAGAGGUGAAAGCCUGGAGCUCAACUCCAGAAUUGCCUUUAAGACUGCCGAGCUAGCAGGUGAGAGAGGUAAGUGGAAUUCCGAGUGUAGAGGUGAAAUUCGUAGAUAUUCGGAAGAACACCAGUGGCGAAGGCGGCUUACUGGCUCAUACUGGACGCUGAGGUGCGAAAGCGUGGGGAGCAAACAGGAUUAGAGACCCCUGUAGUCCCUGUCUCUUAUAC